ACAUGAAGCUCUCGGGAUGUGUCGAGAGAUGCCGUAUAUAGACCGUCGAAAUCCCAAAUAUGUUCAAUGAAAUUGCAUAAAUCAGUAUUUCAAACGUGAAAAGACGCCAGAUGCAGCUUGCCAGCUGGCUUAAUUUGAUUAAGUCGUAAUUACAACAUGCAAGAGCCAAUGAUGGUUUGGACUGAAGCUCAGGACAGAAAACCUCCAGAAAAACAACAGACCGGAAACUCCACAUCUGACUCUCCGGGUGCGAUGGGCACACAGAUGGUGAGGUUGGGAUUGGUCAUGUAACUGUCCUCGCUUUCUGGAAAAACAUACUUCUCGAAGCUUCCCAGUCCGCCGUUGCACUCUGUGUGAUUCAGGGUCACUUGUGCCUCUUUGGAUUUGCGUCUGUGCCGCGUCAGGUUCCCGCUGAAGAGAUCUUUGAUGCCGUUCAGGAGCCAAGAGAAACCAAAUUGGAUUCGAGCGAUGGCGAUCUGAAGGUUGUUCAUUUCUCCGUCUUCAUCCGGCGCUGAUAGAUUAUCAGAGCUGAACGAGCUCAGCAACAGGGCCAGAAACAGAUUCAAGACCUAGAGAGGAACCAA